AAAGUCGUAACAAGGUUUCCGUAGGUGAACCUGCGGAAGGAUCAUUAAUGAAUAAACUCGGUGGAUUGUUGCUGGCUCUUAGGAGCAUGUGCACAUCUGCCAUUGUUUCAUUCUUUCUCCACCUGUGCACCUUUUGUAGGCUUGGAUAACUCUCAAGGAUUGAAUUAUAUUCAUUAUAUUCAUUCCUUGGAUUUGGGGAUUGGUUUCAAGAAAACCUCUCCUUUGCAUUUCCAGUCUAUGUUUUAUAUAUCUACACCCCAUUAGUAUGUGUUAGAAUGUUUAUUAUUUGGCCUUUCUUUUGAUAGGCUUUAAAACUUAUACAACUUUCAACAACGGAUCUCUUGGCUCUC
rnacentral:misc_RNA from 1 species